rnacentral:rRNA from 1 species
AUUGAACGCUGGCGGCAGGCCUAACACAUGCAAGUUGAGCGGUUGAAGUUAGUUUGCUCCUGGAUUUAGCGGCCGACGGGUGAGUAGUUCCUACGAAUCGGCCUGGUAUUUGGGGAUAACGUCCGGAAACGGGCCCUAAUAUCAUAUACGUUCUCAGCUUUAAACAUGGGGUUUUUCGGUCCUCACUCCAUCAGAAUAGCCUAAGUCUGAUUAGCUAGUGGGUUGGGUAAUGGCCUAGCAAGGCGACAAUCAGUAACUUGUCUGAGAGGAUGACCAGUCAAACUGGACCUGAAAAACGCUCAAAACUCCUACGGAGGGCGGCAGUGGGGAAUAUUGGACAUUGAGCGAAAUCCUGCUCCAGCCCUGCCGCGUAUGUGAAGAAGGUCUUCGGAUUGUAAACCACUUUAAGUUGGGAGGACGGGCAGUAAGUUAAUACCUUGCUCUUUUGACGUUACCAACAGAAUAAGCACCGGCUAACUUCGUG